CUUUACGGUUAACCUGAACAGGUCUUGGAAAAAGGACUUUAAACAUUCUCCUGUUCUGUGGAAUAAGUAUACUUUUUUCUGGACAUACACCUUGUCAGUGAGUUCCAUGUGAUACUAGAGUUGCAUAGAUUUUUAACCUUUACGCCAAUGAAGAUCUGAGGCAAACAUUGCCCCUUUUUUAGAAGUUUGCAUUUGUCACUGAUAACUGUAAUAAUUGAUCUUGUUGAAAAGCCUGGGAAAUGAAGAUCUGAUAUGUCACUUUUACCGGCUUCCUCAACUGAAAAAGAAUACAAUGAAACACGCUGAGAAUUUUUGUGCUUUCUCAGUCUUGCUGAUGAUCUUUCUAUGGGCCUGAAGCGUGGAGAGUGCCAGAGAGGCUGAUCCUCAGCAGUGUGGCAGAGGAAAGUUGGGUGCGACUAAGGGGUAUGCGGUGCCCACAUGCCACUGGGUCCUCAGCAGUACCACCUGAUUGGAAGUGAUAUUGGUGGAAGACAACAUUUUGCCGCUUGGAAUUCUCACCUCCACACCAAAGAAGUACUGUUUUUGUCAUUUGCACCAGCUUCUUUCUCCAGGAAAGAUCAAAACGAUGCACUGCAAGUGUGAUUGGUCCAGAUAGCUGCCUUAUCCAACUGCCUCCUUUGGACCACUUCAUCAUGGGACAGCUUGAUGCAAUCUACUUGACAAGACCCUGGAACCCCACACCCCUCAUGGAACCAGUGUCCACCUCCCAGUCACAGUGUGACCCCAGGGAACUCUUGCCUGCUUGCUUUAAACCCACCACUUAAAAGUCUCCACAGAAAACCUGUUUGAAUAGUACCCUUGACCCAAUAAGGGCAUUGGCCCCUGGGUGUCUCUCUCUCUCUCUCUCUCUCUCUCUCCCUCUCUCUCCCUCUCUCUCUCUCGCUCCCUGACCUCUGCGUGUGGACUCCAGGCAUGCCAUAUACCCCUCAGGACCUGAAGCAAAAGAAUGAAUUAAAGAAAACUCCAGAGAAUGAGCUGACAACCUACUCCCUGGUCAGUGGCUCUCCAUGCCUACCUGUGGUCUCUUGGACACCCUUGCAGAUGACUUCCUGGGAACUCUUCUGGGAGUGAAUGUUAUCAGCAAAUUCCCAAAACAACACCCCUUAGACAAAAAGCCUCCUCACCUAUGCAUUGCCUAGACCACCCACUAAAGGUGAUGGCCACAAAGAGGUGGAUUUGUUGAGUUGGUGCCAUUCCUUCUACUGCCAGCUUCACCAAAACAAUGACACAGUCUUCCUUCCGCAUGGAGACUCUUCUCUUUCCUGUGUUGCAGUGGAUGCCUCCUGCAGAUAAGAAAUGCUUAACUGAGAAAUGCUCAUGUUGGGAUAUCAUCGAUGAGACUUUAAUUUGGGCAUGGUGACUGUUUCCCUUGCUGCCACUUGACUCAAUCCCAGGAGCCUCAGUAGAGGAUAUAAUAUUACACAAGAUGCUCAAAAUGGUGGAAUUGCUCAGUGCUCCCAUAAAUAUACAUUUAUAAUUUUCAUUUGCCACAUGGUAAACUGAAAAAUACAGACUAU
rnacentral:lncRNA from 1 species